rnacentral:rRNA from 1 species
AUUGAACGCUGGCGGCAGGCCUAACACAUGCAAGUCGAGCGGAUGAACGGUGCUUGCUCCUGGAUUCAGCGGCGGACGGGUGAGUAAUGCCUAGGAAUCUGCCUGGCAGUGGGGGAUAACGUCCGGAAACGGGCGCUAAUACCGCAUACGCCCUGAGGGAGAAAGUGGGGGAUCUUCGGAUCUCAGGCUAUCAGAUGAGCCUAGGUCGGAUUAGCUAGUUGGUGGGGUAAAGGCCUACCAAGGCGACGAUCCGUAACUGGUCUGAGAGGAUGAUCAGUCACACUGGAACUGAGACACGGUCCAGACUCCUACGGGAGGCAGCAGUGGGGAAUAUUGGACAAUGGGCGAAAGCCUGAUCCAGCCAUGCCGCGUGUGUGAAGAAGGUCUUCGGAUUGUAAAGCACUUUUAGUUGGGAAGAAGGGCAGUAAGUUAAUACCUGGCUGUUUUGACGUUACCUACAGAAUAAGCACCGGCUAACUACGUG